rnacentral:rRNA from 1 species
UGGCCCCCCACACGGGUACUGAGACACGGACCCGACUCCUACGGGAGGCAGCAGUAAGGAAUAUUGGUCAAUGGACGGAAGUCUGAACCAGCCAUCCCGCGUGCAGGAUGACUGCCCUAUGGGUUGUGAACUGCUUUUAGCAGAGACGAAACGCCUUCAUUUAUGAGGGUCUGACGGUAUCUGCAGAAUAAGCACCGGCUAACUCCGUGCCAGCAGCCGCGGUAAUACGGAGGGUGCAAGCGUUAUCCGGAAUCACUGGGUUUAAAGGGUGCGUAGGCGGAUAUUUAAGUCAGUGGUGAAAUCUUGUCGCUUAACGAUAAAAUUGCCAUUGAUACUGAAUGUCUUGAAUUGGGUUGAGGUUAGCGGAAUGUGACAUGUAGCGGUGAAAUGCAUAGAUAUGUCAUGGAACACCAAUUGCGAAGGCAGCCCCCUGGGUCGACACUGACGCUCAUGCACGAAAGCGUGGGUAGCAAACAGGAUUAGAUACCCUGGUAGUCCACGCCCUAAACGAUGCCAACUAUGUGUUGGGGAAAGGAGACUUCCUUAGUACCGUAGCUAACGCGUGAAGUUGGCCGCCUGGGGAGUACGGUCGCAAGAUUAAAACUCAAAGGGAUUGACGGGGACCCGCACAAGCGGUGGAUGAUGUGGAUUAAUUCGAUGCACGCGAAAACCUUACCUACCC